rnacentral:rRNA from 1 species
AACGAACGCUGGCGGCGUGCCUAACACAUGCAAGUCGAGCGAGAAAGUCCCUUCGGGGGCGAGUAGAGCGGCGGACGGGUGAGUAAUACGUGGGCAACCUGCCUGUAAGACUGGGAUAACUUCGGGAAACCGGAGCUAAUACCGGAUAAUUUCUUUCUUCACAUGGAGAAAGGUUGAAAGACGGCUUCGGCUGUCACUUACAGAUGGGCCCGCGGCGCAUUAGCUAGUUGGUGAGGUAACGGCUCACCAAGGCGACGAUGCGUAGCCGACCUGAGAGGGUGAUCGGCCACACUGGGACUGAGACACGGCCCAGACUCCUACGGGAGGCUG